rnacentral:rRNA from 1 species
AUGAAGAACGUAGCAAAAUGCGAUACUUGGUGUGAAUUGCAGAAUCCCGUGAAUCAUCGAGUCUUUGA